UAACACUUAUAACUUUGGUUUCUGAGAUAGCUGUCACACUUCUACAAUGAGAUUCCUGCAUUUUCUCUUCAUUGGUGUCUUUGUCUUAUCCCUGGCAACAUCAGGUGACACUGGAACCCUGAAAAGACCUCUGUAUUCCUGUAGUGUAUGUCCUCCUGCAACCUGCCAGUCAAGAUCAUUAGGCUGCAAAAAGGCAAUUGAUGGUAUCUGUCCUGAUGGCAUGCAGUGCUGUGUGAAUAGUUCAUCUCAAAGAGGAUGCUGAAGAGCCAGAUCUCUGCUUGGAGCAUCAUGGAGGAAGUACAACUGUCACUGCCUUGAAUAAAAAAGCAAAACCCU